AAUUUUGGACAAUGGGGGAAACCCUGCUCCAGCCAUCCCGCGUGUAUGAUGAAGGNCUNNGGGUUNUNAAGUACUUUUUUCCGNNNNNAAAAGGUAUCCCCUAAUACGGGAUAUUGCCGCCGGUUUCUGCAGAAUAAGCAUCGGCUACCUACUGGCCGGCAGCCGCGGUAAUAGGUGGGGUGGAGCCGUAAUUCGGAGUUACUGGGCGUAAAGCGGGUGUGGGCGGUUCGGAAAGAAAGAUGUGAAAUACCAGGGCUCAACCUUGGAAAUGCAUUUUUAACUGCCGAGCUAGAGUAUGUCAGAGGGGGGUAGAAUUCCACGUGUAGCAGUGAAAUGCGUAGAUAUGUGGAGGAAUACCGAUGGCGAAGGCAGCCCCCUGGGAUAAUACUGACGCUCAGACACGAAAGAGUGGGGAGCAAACAGG
rnacentral:rRNA from 1 species